rnacentral:rRNA from 1 species
GUGGGGAAUUUUGGACAAUGGGCGCAAGCCUGAUCCAGCGACGCCGCGUGGAGGACGAAGGCCUUCGGGUUGUAAACUCCUUUUGGAGGGGAAGAAUAAAUUGACGGUACCCUCAGAAAAAGCCACGGCUAACUACGUGCCAGCAGCCGCGGUAAUACGUAGGUGGCGAGCGUUACUCGGAAUUACUAGGCGUAAAGCGUAUGUAGGUGGUUAGAUAAGUCUAUGGUGAAAUUUCCUGGCUUAACUGGGAAGGGACAUAGAUACUAUCUGGCUUGAGUGUGGGAGGGGGAGACGGAAUUCCUGGUGUAGCGGUGAAAUGCGUAGAUAUCAGGAGGAACACCGAUGGCGAAAGCAGUCUCCUGGCCCAAUACUGACACUGAGGUACGAAAGCUAGGGUAGCAAACAGGAUUAGAUACCCUUGUAGUCC